ACAGUGAUAAGGCAGAGGAGGGACAGGGCCUACACAGUAGCUGCAGAUGAUACACGGGCCUAUGAGCCUUUAAGGGGUGCUCCUCAGGGACUGUUAGGGGAUGGAGGAUCUCCAGGGACUAGAGGACUUUUAGCUAGAAAAAGCAGAGGAUCAUUAGCCUCCCAGUCUUUCUGUGCCCACUGAUACAGACCCAUCUCUUGGGGCUUCAUUGCCUCACAGUCUUCCUCAGGUAUGAGUGUGUGUUCUGUUUUCCUGGAGUGUGACUUUGUGGGUAGAAGCAUCUGGAAGCCCUCUGUUGAGAAGGUGCCCUGACGAGGGCCGGGGAUGGAACCGCAACUGAGGGAACUCAGAACGUACCUGUUUAAACGAUAUGAUGUCUGUGAAGCGCCUAGCACGGGACCUGUCCUACAGCUCAUGCCCAAAGACUGUUUCUCUCCUUCCUCCUCUGUUUGACAGCAGGUUCCAAGCUCACUUGAAAAUGUAGCAUUGAUCCCACAGCAAAUAUGUUUUGGCUUAGUGAUGAGUCCACUCAAAAGAAGAGAGAAAAUUAUCUAACUUAUUGAAAUACUUUAAUCCAUGAACUCACAUAAAUAUUGUUUUGAACUAAUAGUUUUAUAUACUGUGGCAUCUGUGUUCCAUCUUUUGGGUGGUUAAUGUCUCUUGCUGUCAUGUACUUAAAAAUGUCAGACUUUCGGUAUUUUCUUUUAUGUUAAACUUGCAAUGGAGUGUUGGAUUCCUUGGUUCAUUUUUAAAAAGCCCUUUAUCAAAAUGUUAGCUUGGUUAAUUUGCAUAAAAUAUUUCCUCGGCAAUUUACUCUGUAUUACUUUUGAAACGCAAAUUGCCUCUGCUGCAGUGUGGGAUGGCUGUAGGUUGUAACAGCAUGUCAGCUAUGACAGCUUUCGAUUCCUGGGAUGAACCAGUCUCAGGUUUGAAGCUCAAGCAAAUAAAUUGGAAUCUUGCCUC